AGCAGCCGCGGUAAUUCCAGCUCCAAUAGCGUAUAUUAAAGUUGUUGCAGUUAAAAAGCUCGUAGUUGAACUUCAGGCCUGUCCAGAUGGUCCGCCUUAAUUGGUGUGUACUGUCCUUGGGUGGGUCCUACCUUCUGGCGAAGUGGCAUGGCCUUAGUUGGUUGUGUCGGGGAAGCAGGACUUUUACUGUGAAAAAUUGAGUGUUCAAAGCAGGCAUAUAUGCUCGAAUACAUUAGCAUGGAAUAAUGGAAUAGGACGAUGGUUCUAUUUUGUGGUUCUAGGACCGUUGUAAUGAUUAAUAGGGAUAGUUGGGGGCAUUAGUAUUCAAUUGUCAGAGGUGAAAUUCUUGGAUUUAUUGAAGACUAACUACUGCGAAAGCAUUUGCCAAGGAUGUUUUCAUUAAUCAAGAACGAAAGUUAGGGGAUCGAAGACGAUCAGAUACCGUCGUAGUCUUAACCAUAAACUAUGCCGACUAGGAAUCGGGCGAUGUUGACAAAAUGACUCGAC
rnacentral:misc_RNA from 1 species